rnacentral:rRNA from 1 species
UGGGGAAUAUUGCACAAUGGGCGAAAGCCUGAUGCAGCAACGCCGCGUGAGUGAUGAAGGCCUUCGGGUUGUAAAGCUCUGUCUUUUGGGACGAUAAUGACGGUACCAAAGGAGGAAGCCACGGCUAACUACGUGCCAGCAGCCGCGGUAAUACGUAGGUGGCAAGCGUUGUCCGGAUUUACUGGGGCGUAAAGGAUGCGUAGGCGGAUUUUUAAGUGAGAUGUGAAAUACCCGGGCUUAACUUGGGUGCUGCAUUUCAAACUGGGAAUCUAGAGUGCGGGAGAGGAGAAUGGAAUUCCUAGUGUAGCGGUGAAAUGCGUAGAGAUUAGGAAGAACACCAGUGGCGAAGGCGAUUCUCUGGACCGUAACUGACGCUGAGGCAUGAAAGCGUGGGUAGCAAACAGGAUUAGAUACCCUGGUAGUCCACGCCGUAAACGAUGAGUACUAGGUGUAGGAGGUAUCGACCCCUUCUGUGCCGCAGUUAACACAAUAAGUACUCCGCCUGGGAAGUACGAUCGCAAGAUUAAACUUAAAUGAAUUGACGGGGUCAUAGCUG